GCCAGCUGCUUCUACACAGCCACGGCCAUCUGAUCCUGCUCAAGCUCAGUAAGUUGAGCCUCUUCACCCCUCUGCCUCUGCAUCCUCAUAAAGCUACCUCAAGACAGAGCGUAACUGCCUCAUUCUAGGAGUGGACUCGGGGAAGGCACUAGGACUCCAGAGUGUACUGAAAACCAACUGAGACAUCCAGCCUUGUGGACUGAGCAGCUCCUGGAGUCUCCAACCUUCCGUUCAUAGGCAGCCUUUGUUGGACUAGCUAAACCACAGCCUGAGGAAAGAGGAAGAUGCCUUGAAGGAGGCCCUUGGUGGGAAUGCAGCUGACUCUGAUACAGAAGAUGAAGACCAACUCCAAAAUGACAAGGAAAGGUUCUUGGAGGCUUAUCCUCAGGUGAG
rnacentral:lncRNA from 1 species